rnacentral:rRNA from 1 species
CGCUGGCGGCGCGCCUAACACAUGCAAGUCGAACGAGAGAUGAGGAGCUUGCUCUUCAAAUCGAGUGGCGAACGGGUGAGUAACGCGUGAGGAACCUGCCUCAAAGAGGGGGACAACAGUUGGAAACGACUGCUAAUACCGCAUAAGCCCACGGCUCGGCAUCGAGCAGAGGGAAAAGGAGUGAUCCGCUUUGAGAUGGCCUCGCGUCCGAUUAGCUAGUUGGUGAGGUAACGGCCCACCAAGGCAACGAUCGGUAGCCGGACUGAGAGGGUGACCGGCCACAUUGGGACUGAGACACGGCCCAAACUCCUACGGGAGGCAGCAGUGGGGAAUAUUGCACAAUGGGGGAAACCCUGAUGCAGCGACGCCGCGUGAGCGAAGAAGUAUUUCGGUAUGUAAAGCUCUAUCAGCAGGGAAGAAGAAAUGACGGUACCUGACUAAGAAGCACCGGCUAAAUACGUG